GGCUUUCAACAACGAUAUCAACCGAUUUUCAGUAAAUUGCGAGUUGAUAUGUUGUUUGAAUGCCCC
rnacentral:pre_miRNA from 1 species